rnacentral:rRNA from 1 species
GAUGAACGCUAGCGACAGGCCUAACACAUGCAAGUCGAGGGGUAUAGGGAGCUUGCUUCCUAGAGACCGGCGCACGGGUGCGUAACGCGUAUGCAAUCUACCUUGUACAGGGGAAUAGCCCAGAGAAAUUUGGAUUAAUGCCCCAUAGUAUUAUUAAAUGGCAUCCUUUAAUAAUUAAAGUUCCAACGGUACAAGAUGAGCAUGCGUCCUAUUAGUUAGUUGGUGUGAUAACGGCAUACCAAGACGAUGAUAGGUAGGGGUCCUGAGAGGGAGAUCCCCCACACUGGUACUGAGACACGGACCAGACUCCUACGGGAGGCAGCAGUGAGGAAUAUUGGACAAUGGGCGCAAGCCUGAUCCAGCCAUGCCGCGUGCAGGAAGACGGUCCUAUGGAUUGUAAACUGCUUUUAUACAGGAAGAAACACUGGUUCGUGAACCAGCUUGACGGUACUGUAAGAAUAAGGAUCGGCUAACUCCGUGCCAGCAGCCG